rnacentral:sRNA from 1 species
GCCAGGCAUGGUUGCGCACACCUGUAAUCCCAGCAACUCAGGAGGCUGAGGCAAGAGGAUCAUAAGUUCAAAGCCAGCCUCAGCAACUUAGUGAUGAGGCCCUCGGCAACUUCAAGAGAUCCUGUCUCAA